AGAGUUUGAUCCUGGCUCAGGAUGAACGCUGGCGGCGUGCCUAAUACAUGCAAGUCGAGCGAAUGGAUUAAGAGCUUGCUCUUAUGAAGUUAGCGGCGGACGGGUGAGUAACACGUGGGUAACCUGCCCAUAAAACUGGGAUAACUCCGGGAAACCGGGGCUAAUACCGGAUAACAUUUUGAACUGCAUGGUUCGAAAUUGAAAGGCGGCUUCGGCUGUCACUUAUGGAUGGACCCGCGUCGCAUUAGCUAGUUGGUGAGGUAAUGGCUCACCAAGGCAACGAUGCGUAGCCGACCUGAGAGGGUGAUCGGCCACACUGGGACUGAGACACGGCCCAGACUCCUACGGGAGGCAGCAGUAGGGAAUCUUCCGCAAUGGACUAAAGUCUGACGGAGCAACGCCGCGUGAGUGAUGAAGGCUUUCGGGUCGUAAAACUCUGUUGUUAGGGAAGAACAAGUGCUACUUGAAUAAGCUGGCACCUUGACGGUACCUAACCAGAAAGCCACGGCUAACUACGUGCCAGCAGCCGCGGUAAUACGUAUGUGGCAAGCGUUAUCCGGAAUUAUUGGGCGUAGAGCGCGCGCACGUGGUUUCUUAAGUCUGAUGUGAAAGCCCACGGCUCACCCGUGGAGGGUCAUUGGAAACUGGGAGACUUGAGUGCAGAAGAGGAAAGUGGAAUUCCAUGUGUAGCGGUGAUAUGCGUAGAGAUAUGGAGGAACACCAGUGGCGAAGGCGACUUUCUGGUCUGUAACUGACACUGAUGCGCGAACAGCGUGGGGAGCAUACACGAUUAGAUACCC
rnacentral:rRNA from 1 species